AAACAGCAGAUACUUACUUUCUCACAGUUCUGAAGGCUGGGAGUCUGAAAUCAAGGAACCAACAUGGUCAAGUUUUGGCCCCUCUUCCUGGCUCACAGUGUAUGUGAAAGCUUGCGUACAAAAAGAAGGGACAACAACUAUGCAGGAAGGAGGACAGGUGAAAUCUUCCACUCAAGAAUUCUACCCAGGAGGAUUGGAGAUGGCUUUAUCUCUGUUAUAAGCUGUUACUCCCUUCCUUAUCCUUAAUUGGAAGUUAAGACUACAGAUUCUGAGUUAGACCAAACUUUAAAUUCCAGAUGGCAUCUUUGGCCACGGAUGCAUGUCUUUCACGGUUCCUCUCUGAGGUCUCAGCUUUCUCUGGACAGCCUUCACAGCAAGAGGAACCAGGGAGCUGGGCUCCUCAUAGGUGGUAGUUGUUUCCUGAUGCUGUGGAGCUCUAGAUUCUCUCAGCUUCCCUGUGUGGCCCUUCAAGUUUUUCAACCUUUGCAGCCACUUGGCUCUUUGAAAUGUCUGCUGUUGAACUACUUGGAACACACUCUAGUUUUGCUGACUGUAUCCUUACAGAUAGAAAAAGGAUUUUCCACAAUUUCCUCCCCACUCAGCGCCACAAAAUAGUCCACAAAUGAUUGUAAAAUUCACCACAUUAAAAUAUAUAUAUCCUUUUUUAUCAAAAACAAUGAAAAUAAAAGACAAAAAUGACAAGAUAUAUGCAACACAUAUAAAUGAUUAGCACCCAAAAUAUGUAUAAACAUCUAUAAUAAGCGAAAUUAAUAACUAUGUAAGAAAAUGCCAUAGAUAAGGGAAUUCUAACAGAACAUUUGAAUGGCCCAUAAACAUAUCAUAAGCUUAAGUCUAUUAGUGAUCAUGAAAAUGAAAAUUAAAAUAGCAUCAUUUUAUACUCACUAGAUAGAAAAAAAUCUUUAAUCUCCCAAUAUUAACUGUUGACAAGGAUGAAAAGCAACCUGAAAAUUAUACAGUGCUGGAGGCAGUACAAACUGAUUUAACCAAUUUCAAAAACAAUUUAACAUUAUAUAGUAAACUUAAGAUUGCAUGUAACCUCAGACCAAUGUUACCUGAUUUUUAGAAGUACAUACUCAAAAAAUCCUCCAUGCUUGCAACAAAAAAAAUGUGUAAAAUUGUUCCCAACAACACAGACAUAGCACAAAAGAGCAAAUGUACGUCAUUUGAGAAUCACACAAUAAAUCACAGUAUAUUCACAUAGUGGAGUAAUAUACAGCAGAAAAUAAAUGACUUGCAGCAACACUCAACUAUAUGAACUGAUCUCAGCAACUCAAAAUUGAAUAACAAAUUAUAAAAUGAUAGAGCAGAAAUCUAAUUAUAUAAAGUUGUACAAAAUUUUUAAAUGUACAAUUAAUGUAUUGUUUAAUGAUAUGAAGAUGUGGUAAACUAUAAGGAAAACUAUAAAUAUGUAGGGGACUAUUACGCAGCAACUUCUGGGCAGUGGUAAUCUCUGACGGGGGAUGCAGUGGCUUGGGUCAAGGAGGGGCAUACAGAAAGCUUUAAAGGUAAAAGUAUUUGUUUUGGUCAACUAAAUAGUGUGUAAAAAUUGGAUGAUAUUUUCACUGUAUAUUAUUAUAAUUUACAUAUGCUUAUAAAUAUUUAUCUGUAUCUAUGCAACAGGUCCCAAAACACAAGUUUUUAAAAUGACAUAAAACUGCCAACUUGAGCUAAUAAUUAAAUCUUAAACUACUUCAUACCUUAAUAUGAGUUAUUAAACAUAAUUAUUCAGUAAUUCACUAUUAUUGGACAUCAUAUACUUUUACCAAACAUCAUCUCCUGUUUAAACAGGGAAAGAUAUAGUAUUUACAACCAGUGUCAUUCUGGCUAUUUAUAGAUAUAUGUUACGUAUCAUGUUUGAGUAUUUAUAAUUCAGAACAUGUCUAUAGUAUCUUCUAAAAUCUAAAGUAACUUUUCUUAAGUUAAAAAAUGUAUUCUAUCAGCCAAAGAUUUAAAAUGUAGGCCCUCUUUCUCUUAUAACAUUAAAAAUAUAAUUUUAUGAUAGUUGAACUUUACAUACAGACAAACUUAUCUUGAUGUAAUGAACUCACAUUUUAUUUAACUUCUUGCUCAUUUUUAAUCCCAAAUAAGUUUAGGGAAUUCCUAUUUAUACACCACAUUUUCCUGAGUUACCUCUUUUAAAGAAAUGCCAGACUUAAAUAUAAAAGUUACAGUAAAAGUUUCCAGAACUUAAUCCCUGAAAUUCAUUCACUUGUUUUUAUUGAUGUGAGAUGGACUAUAAACUUUAUUGACAUU
rnacentral:lncRNA from 1 species